rnacentral:rRNA from 1 species
CCCUUAGAUGUUCUGGGCCGCAUGCGCGCUACACUGUUCGACGCAGCGAGUCUUAACCUUGACCGAAAGGUUUGGGUAAUCUUCAGCAAAGUCGAACGUGAUGGGGAUCGAUCAUUGCAAUUAUUGAUCGUGAACGAGGAAUUCCUAGUAAGUGCAAGUCAUCAGCUUGCGCUGAUUACGUCCCUGCCCUUUGUACACACCGCCCGUCGCUACUACCGAUUGAAUGGUUUAGUGAGAUCUCUGGAUUGACGCUGGCUAGGGGGCGACCCUUGGCCAGACUGCUCGAGAAACUGCUCAAACUUGAUCAUUUAGAGGAAGUAAAAGUCGUAACA